rnacentral:rRNA from 1 species
UCCUUUGCUGAGGAUACGGUUAACGGAGCGAAAGCGACGUUCAACCGCAAAACAAGCAGAGGGGGCUUAGUGGUGGGGUGACUGCGUACCUUUUGUAUAAUGGGUCAGCGACUUAUAUUCUGUAGCAAGGUUAACCGAAUAGGGGAGCCGGAGGGAAACCGAGUCUUAAUUGGGCGUUAAGUUGCAGGGUAUAGACCCGAAACCCGGUGAUCUAGCCAUGGGCAGGUUGAAGGUUGGGUAACACUAACUGGAGGACCGAACCGACUAAUGUUGAAAAAUUAGCGGAUGACCUGUGGCUGGGGGUGAAAGGCCAAUCAAACCGGGAGAUAGCUGGUUCUCCCCGAAAGCUAUUUAGGUAGCGCCUCGUGAAUUCAUCUCCGGGGGUAGAGCACUGUUUCGGCUAGGGGGCCAUCCCGGCUUACCAACCCGAUGCAAACUGCGAAUACCGGAGAAUGUUAUCACGGGAGACACACGGCGGGUGCUAACGUCCGUCGUGAAGAGGGAAACAACCCAGACCGCCAGCUAAGGUCCCAAAGUCAUGGUUAAGUGGGAAACGAUGUGGGAAGGCCCAGACAGCCAGGAUGUUGGCUUAGAAGCAGCCAUCAUUUAAAGAAAGCGUAAUAGCUCACUGGUCGAGUCGGCCUGCGCGGAAGAUGUAACGGGGCUAAACCAU